UGGGGAAUAUUGGACAAUGGGCGCAAGCCUGAUCCAGCAAUGCCGCGUGUGUGAAGAAGGCCUUCGGGUUGUAAAGCACUUUUAUCAGGAGCGAAACGCUGUCGGCUAAUACCCGGCGGAACUGGCGGUACCUGAGGAAUAAGCACCGGCUAACUUCGUGCCAGCAGCCGCGGUAAUACGAAGGGUGCAAGCGUUAAUCGGAAUUACUGGGCGUAAAGCGUGCGUAGGCGGUUUCUUAAGUCUGCUGUGAAAUCCCCGGGCUCAACCUGGGAAUGGCAGUGGAUACUGGGAGGCUAGAGUGUGUCAGAGGGUGGUGGAAUUCCCGGUGUAGCGGUGAAAUGCGUAGAGAUCGGAAGGAACAUCAGUGGCGAAGGCGGCCACCUGGGACAACACUGACGCUGAGGCACGAAAGCGUGGGGAGCAAACAGGAUUAGAUACCCUGGUAGUCCACGCCCCUAAAACGAUGCGAACUGGAUGUUGGUCUCAACUCGGAGAUCAGUGUCGAAGCUAACGCGUUAAGUUCGCCGCCUGGGGGAGUACGGUCGCAAGACUGAAACUUAAAUGAAUUGAC
rnacentral:rRNA from 1 species